UGAAUUUUCUGCAUCUACGGUUGAGAGUU
rnacentral:piRNA from 1 species